rnacentral:lncRNA from 1 species
AGAACACACUACAUGGACUGCCAGACAACAGCCUUCAAUGGAGAAAUCUCUCUGUAAAACAGCACUUACCGAUAUGUGGGUCAGAGUAAGGGAACAGUAGCUACUUAUUGAAUGAAUGAGCAAAUGAAUGAACCAGUGAGCAUCCUCAGAAGUCAGAGAGUUAGUUAUGUCAUGGAAUCAGCAAACCAUGGUAUGCAACAAAUGCUGCUUGGAAGGCUGAGGAAAAUAUUCCAUAUAUCUACUCAUGCCUGCCAGUUCCCAAGGCAGUCACCAUUUUUAGGUAUAGUGUACAAGUCUAGAUGUGGAUGAAAGUUCAGCUUCCAUUCUGGCCCCACUGGUGAAUCUACUUCCUGCUGAAUCUGGAGCAUCCAUUUACACUGCCUCAUUGCCAUUGAGUGAGAGGGGAGGUUCUGCUCUUGCCUGAUGGAGACAAGGGAGGAGGAAUCAGGAAUGCCAAUGAGCACCACAUCACUAUUUGGUAUCCGUUGAAUUUCCAGAUACAUUUUAGGAUCAGCUUGUCAAUUUCUGCAAAGCAGAAGCUGCAAUUCUGGUAGGAAUUAUGUUGACUCUGUAGAUCAAUUUGUGGAGUAUUGUCAUUCAGCAAUAUUCAGUUUUUUGAUCGAUGAACAUGAGAUGUCUUUUAAUUUAUUUGUCUUAUGUAAUUUCUUUCAACAAUGUUUUAUAGUUUUCAGAGUAUACGCUCUGCACUUCUUUUGUUAAAUUUACUCUUAAGUAUUUUAUUAUUUUUGAUGUGAUUAUAAGUGGAAUUGUUUUCUUAAUUACAAUUUUUUAUGGUAAAAAUACAUAUAUAACAUAAAAGUAUCAUUUUAAUCAUUUUUAAGUGCACAGUCGUAUUAAAUACAUUCAGAUUGCUGUGCAACCAUCACCAUGAUCCAUCUCCAGAACUUUUCACCACCCCAAACUGAAAAUCUGUACCCAUUAAACAAUAACUCUUCAUUUCUCCCUCCCCCCAGCCCCUGGAAACCACUAUUCUGCCUUCUGUUUCUAUGAAUUUGACUACUCUAGAUACCUCAUAUAAGUGGAAUCAUACAGUAUUUAUCUGAAUUAUUUCAUUUAGCAUAAGGUCUUCAAGGUUCACCCAUGUUGUAAGCAUGUGCCAAAUUUCUUCCUUUUUAAGACUGAAUAAUAUUCCAUUAUAUGUAUAUACCACAUUUUGUUUAUUCAUCUGUCAAUGGACAUUGGAGUUGUUUCCACAUUUUGGUUAUUGUGAAUAAUGCUGUAAUUUUCAUUUUGGAUUGUUCAUUGCAA